AACCCUACGGGGGCAGCAGUGGGGAAUUUUGGACAAUGGGCGCAAGCCUGAUCCAGCUAUUCCGCGUGUGGGAUGACGGCCCUCGGGUUGUAAACCUCUUGUGUCAGGGAGCAAAUGGCGCUACGUGUAGCGUUAUCGAGAGUACCUGAAGAAAAAGCAUCGGCUAACUCCGUGCCAGCAGCCGCGGUAAUACGGAGGAUGCGAGCGUUAUCCGGAUUUAUUGGGUUUAAAGGGUGCGUA
rnacentral:rRNA from 1 species